rnacentral:lncRNA from 1 species
UUUUUUUUUUUAAUACUGCAUUGUACCUCAGGACUUGAAUAUACAUGAAGAUAUAUUUAUUCAUUCAAUCAGCAAAUACUAGAUAUUUACACUGUAUUAGGCCAUAAGAAUAUAGUGAACCUAGUGUUGGUCAGUAUUGGACCCAGUCCUCAUAGAGUUUGUUUUUAAUCGAAUCCCUAUUAAUAGACAUUGAAGUUAUUUCUGAUUUAUCAUAAACGUGUUUUAAAAUUUCAGUUCGGUCAUGACGGAUCAUCUGCUAUUUGCCCAAAAUUUUCCUAGGAGUUUUCAAAGAAAAUAAUGAGUAAUGAGGCAGUAGUCUUGGUUGGACGAGUCACUGAACUCUGACUACUGAGCUCUAGUCCCAGGCAGGUGUUGCAGGUUAACUCUAGGUUAAUGUGGAGAACCUGAGAUUAUCCUUCAUCCUCCUAGGCCAGUGGUCUUCAAACUUCAGCUUACAUCAGGACCAUGUGAAUGGUUUGUUAAACCACAGAUUUCUGGGUCCCACUUUCGAUUUAGUAGGUCUGGGAUGGGGCCCAAUAAUUUGCAUCUUUAACAAGUUCCCAGGUGAGGCUAAUGCUGCUGGUCCCAGGAACAUAGCUUGCGAACAGCCCCCUGCUAUUUCUGGGAGUUUCUGACUCUGAUAUAGUUUGGACUCUCCUUCAUCAGCAGUUAGAAUUCAGAGAUCUAGAAGUAGCUAUCUUUACAGUUACUAGAGAAGUUACUGAUGCAGAAAAAACUUUCAUGCACCUAGAAGCUCCUGGUAGGAUCCCCUGAUGAUUCCAGUUCCUCGCAUUUUAUUUCUAUUCCUCUUGAGUUACUACCUUCAUGCAGGCUCUUCACUGGGUUGCACUGGUUGGUGGGAGAACUUAUCCUUUGGCACUCUCAACACCACUGGUCAGCAGGGAGGGGCUUCACACUUGAAGAGUUCUUCUGAAACAGUGUGUCUUGAUAUCAAGCUCCAGAGUUUACUCAUCCGGGUUAGAGAAGAUUGGGUUUCUAGCUGCAGGAGCCUUCUGAGAGAAGCAGGCCAUCCUCAUGAGAUUUCAGAAGAGCUGGGAAGGGACAGGCUUACCCUGGAUUUGGGCGGGGCCGGGGGGGCUGGCGGGCGGUGGUGUUGGAGGAGAUCUUGAGAAAAUGAGCUACCUCUGGGAGUUUCAAGGGUCCAGGUCCCACGGGCAGAGGAGCCAGAGUUCUUAGGGUUGCUGGUGAGUAUAAAGCUAACUGCAGAGAAGCCCUCUUGGUUUUUUUCUCCUUAGUUUUGUGGACAGGUUUAAAUAAGGGAUCUGUAUGUAGUCCAACUCUCUCAUAGCAGAGUUGAACGUAGUUUUACCGUUCACUAGCUCCAUCACUAAGGUUCUUAGGAAAUUUUCUCAUCUGUAAAAUGUAGACAAUACCUCUGUCCUCAGGGUUACUGUGGGGAUUCCUACAGUAACAUGUAAAGGACCUCAUUACUGUGCUACUUAACCCACAGUAGGCCCCUCCUUAUCUGAUGGGAGCAUGGAUCAGUAGUGAGGCUAUGGUUACCAUGCUGCAGGACCUUUGGACACAUCACAAAGUAUGCCUGGUUCUUUCUGUACUUAGGAAAGAACAAUGCCUGGCAUUGCUCCCUCUGGAAAAUGAAGCUAGCUAACUUUGGGGGCCUGCUAUCAAGCACUCACAAGCAUAACAUGGAACCUAACAGCUGAGAGGGUAACAGUCCUACUGCACUUUUAGAGACUUCGCAGGAUCUAGGGUGACUAUUCACAGAUGGGACUUUUAGAACUAGAACUAGGGCUAAUUCAUUUCACUACCUUAGUAGGUUAAGUGGCUGUCUCUGGCUCACAGACAAUUGUAAUGUUUGGAGUUCCUAACUCUGAGCUGGCCUUGUUUUCAGCUAUUCCACACUUUCUGGAUCUUGACCCUGUUGCUCUACCCAUAAAGCACUUGCUUUAUUUCCCUUUUUCAAUCAGUUUGCAAACAAAAUGGAAAGAAGUUGAUGAACACAGUUUUGUGGCUCCAAGUUCUUGCUUAGAGAAGGGUUUUGGAAGAGUAAGAAUUUAAGGUCAAUUUGAAACAGUGUGAGUAUAGGAUGGCAUGACUAAAGCAUCAGAGCACAUCUUUCUUCAUCAUUCCCAGAUACUCUAAAAGGUUAAUAAUAUUUAUAGGUUCACUACAAACAUUAUUGCAACAGUCUGAUUUAUAGGCAAGUUAAUACUUCUGUUUAUAUUCUAAUUUUCUGUUUUAGUAGUCAGGAAUCUUUUCUUAUUGUCUUAGGUAUAUCUCAGCAGUGAAAAUAAUUUUCUCCUAUGUCAGAAACUUAAAGAAGAAAAUCAGAAGCCUACUUUUAAAAGUCUGUAACAUGUACACUUUAGAUACAACAUGGAGUAUUGUAUCCAUACAAAUAAAGGAAGAUAAACCUUCCUUAUAAAGGAAGGUUUCUUUCUUUUUUUUUUUAAGCAAGCAUUUUUAAUUUUUGUAGCAAGAGUGUGCUCCAGGAGGGGAAGCAAGAAGGAGAAUAUUUUUAAAAAGAUUUUAUUUGUUUUGAGAGAGAGUGCCAGUGGGGGGAGGGGCAGGAGGCGAGGGAGAGAGAGAAUCCCAAGCAGACUCCCAACUGAGCACAGAGCCCAACACAGGGCUUGUUCUCAUGACCGUGAGGUCAUGACCUGAGCCGAAAUCAAGAGUUGUAUGCUUAACUAACUGAGCUUUUAAUUUUUCUUUAAAAGCAAAAACGCCUUUAAAAAACACAAAAACAUGGGGCUCCUGAGUGGCUCAGUUGGUUAAGUGUCUGCCUUCAGUGCAGGUCAUGAUCCCAGGGACCUAGGACCACAGGGAGCCUCUGCUUCUUCCUCUGCCUACUACUCCCUCUGCUUGUGCUUGCUCUGUCAAAUAAAUAAAAUCUUUUUUAAAAAGGCACACCAAAAACUCAACUAGCUGAAGAAAAGGUAAAUAAUUUCAGAAUGGUAUGUACAGAAUGCACUCCUAUCCCUACACCCUUUUACUGUCAGAGUUCCCAUGGUUUUGCUGGGAGAAUCAAAACACAUUAUGGAUGUGAAUCUCCAUCACAGGACCUUGACUCUCCACUUUUCUGUCCCCCAUACUUAGUAAAAGGGAAGAUGGGUAGCAGUUGUUCUGUAGUAUUCCAAUUGCAAGACAGGCAUUAUCUCAUUGAAACAAUGUUAAAAGAGGUGCAUGGGCUUCACUUAACGCGAAUUAGAUAAAUUACUGAGUGUUGGCCUGAAUAGCAAAGUCAUUUUAAGAUUAUUUCUAUGAGGAUCAUAUUUGUAGGUCCAAAAAUUGGUUGACCAUCAACAAACAUUUGAAAUAACAAUCUGUCAUAGGUUGGGAAAUGGUUGGAUACUUUUAAAAAUUUGAUUUAUAUGAAUUCUUUCAAGUGCGCAUUAAGCUACAACUAUUCGGAGUUCUUGAACAUCUGUUGUAUUAAUAAGUGAAACACCUAUAUUAAUAUAUCACUUAAAGCUCAAACAUAACUUGGGGGUUCAUUAUACUGUUUGUUCUACUUAAGUAUGUUUGAAAUUUUUUAUACUAAAAAGACUAAAAAAAAAAAAACAAAAAA